GAUGAACGCUGGCGGCGUGCUUAACACAUGCAAGUCGAACGAAGAUGCCGGAGUGCUUGCACUUUGGCAGACUGAGUGGCGGACGGGUGAGUAACGCGUGGGUAACCUGCCUUAUACAGGGGGAUAACAGUUGGAAACGACUGCUAAUACCGCAUAAGCCCACGGCUCGGCAUCGAGCAGAGGGAAAAGGAGCAAUCCGCUUUGAGAUGGCCUCGCGUCCGAUUAGCUAGUUGGUGAGGUAACGGCCCACCAAGGCGACGAUCGGUAGCCGGACUGAGAGGUUGAACGGCCACAUUGGGACUGAGACACGGCCCAGACUCCUACGGGAGCAGCAGUGGGGAAUAUUGCACAAUGGGCGAAAGCCUGAUGCAGCGACGCCGCGUGAGUGAAGAAGUAUCUCGGUAUGUAAAAGCUCUAUCAGCAGGGA
rnacentral:rRNA from 1 species